UUGGGAGAAGGUUUUUACAUGCGAUGAUUCCCAGCUCCACCGUGCCGAUAGGUGGUUUCCAGAGCUGUCUCGCCGUCGGCCGGAAGUCGCUGCAGACAUGCGCGGCCUCGUCCAUCACGUGAUAUCCACCGUCGAAGCAUAAACGUAGGUGGACUCUACCCUUGUAACUGCUCCUUUCCUCCUCCUUGUUAGGGUUUUGAAAGCUGAACCAGUGCGACACAGGUGUUCGAUCGUCCACACGCCGCUCGAUCGCCGUCAACGGCACUCUCGCGACGCCCAGGGUGGCUACCUUUCCUUUCGUUUGCUGGCUUUCGAGGGUGAAGAUGAGGUGCUCGUGAGUGAAGGGUUCGGCGGCGA
rnacentral:lncRNA from 1 species